rnacentral:rRNA from 1 species
UACGGAGGAUGCGAGCGUUAUCCGGAUUUAUUGGGUUUAAAGGGUGCGUAGGCGGCUUUUUAAGUCAGCGGUGAAAUUUUGCAGCUUAACUGUAACAGUGCCGUCGAUACUGGGGAGCUAGGAUUUGGUUGCUGUGGGUGGAAUGUGUGGUGUAGCGGUGAAAUGCUUAGAGAUCACACAGAAUAUCGAUUGCGAAGGCAGCUCACAAAGCCAAGAUUGACGCUGAGGCACGAAAGUGUGGGGAUCAAACAGGAUUAGA